ACUUAGUAUAUAUACUUGCUGUAAAUAUAGACCAAGGAAAAAUAUGCAGGCUUUAUUAGGUGGAUAUUCUGUGAGUUUCUGAUUACCCACAAACGACCAAUAAAAUC